AUCCGGAAUAGUAGCUCUUGCUGCCAGGACCAGGGUCGGGUGGGCGCUGCCCAGCGCGGGAGGCGCUAGUUCAAUGUGUAGCCUCUUCCCGGGGUCAGCCGCGCGUCGGUAAUCGCUUCUGCAGGUCCCCUCCUUUUCUAGAAGUUUAUUACUGCUCUUCUGGGGCUGUGAGCGCCUACCCUCCGAGGGAAGUUAAACCCGGAAAUGUGGGAGAAAGGAUAGGUUCUUAUAAGACACAUACAAGGAAAAAAUACCAGGGAACGUGGCCCUGACUAAGUCAGCUACCACGGAGGUCCUACCCUUGGUUAAUGUUUUCCUACUUUUGGGACAUAAUUUACAUUGCUUAGGUGUUGAAAGGCUGCGUCCAGGGACAGCUUUCAGGAACGUGAAGGGAGGGGCGCACGGAGAUGGCACCGCCCCCUCCGGAAGUCCCCGCCCAUCCCCCGGAAGACACCGC